UUUGGUCAGAUCUUCAGACCAGACAACUUUUCAGUCAGUGUGGGGCAGGCAACAACUGGCCAAGGACCACUAUACAGAAGGGGCUGAGCUGGUUGAUUGGGUCCUGGAUGUGGUACAGAAGGAGGUUAAGAGCUGUGACUGCCUGCAGGAUCUCCAGUUGACCUACUCGCUGGGUGGGGGCACAGGCUCUGAAAUGGGCACCCUCCUUAUCAGAAAGGUAUGAGAAGAAUAUCCUGAUGGCAUAGUGAAUACUUUCAGUGUGGUCCCCUCACCCAAAGUGUCUGACACCGUGGUUGAGCCCUACAAUGCCACCCUCUCCAUCCAUCAGUUGGUAGAGAGCACUGAUGAGACCUACUGCAUUGACAAUGAGGCCUUUUAUGACAUCUGCUUCCACACCCUCAAUCUGACCACACUGACUUAUGGGGACCUGAACCAUGUCAUCUCAGCUAUCAUGAGUGGUGUCACCACCUGCCCCCACUUCCCUGGACAGCUCAAUGCUGACCUCCACAAACUGGCAGUCAACAAGUGCCCUUCCCACGUCUCCACUUCUUCAUGCCUGGCUUUGUCCCUCUGACUAGUUGUGGAAGCCAUCAGUAUUGGGCUCUCACUGUGCUCAGACUCACUCAGCAGAUUUUUCAUGCAUAGAACAUGAUGGCUGCCAGUGACACCUGCUAUAGCCGGUACCUCACUGUGGCUUCCGUAGACGGAUGUCCAUGAACGAGGUAGAUAGGCAGAUGCUCAAAGUGCAGAACAAGAAUAGCAGCUACUUUGUGGAGUGGAUCUCCAACAAUGUCAAGACGGCUAUCUGCGACAUCCCACCUCAUGGCCUCAAGACGACGGUCACCUUCAUCGGCAACAGCAUGGCCAUGCAGGAGCUGUUCCUGUGCAUCUCAGAGCAGUUCACUGCCAUGUUCCACCGGAAGGCCUUCCUCCACUGGUACAGUAUCAGCAGUACCAGGAUGCCACCGUGGAAGAGGAGGAGGAUUUCGGUGAGGAGGUGGAAGAGGACACCUAAGGCACAGCCCCCAUCACCUCAGGCUUCCCGCUCCCUUAGCCUUCUUCCUCAACUACCCCAUUCCUCUCCCUCAGAAUUUGUGUUUGCUGCCUCUGUUUUUAUUUUCCUUAAUCUUCUUCUUUUAGGUGGGUCUAGAACAGUGCCUGGCACAUAGUAGGUGCUCAGUAAAUACUUGUUU